rnacentral:rRNA from 1 species
AACGAACGCUGGCGGCAUGCCUAACACAUGCAAGUCGAACGAGACCUUCGGGCCUAUUGGCGCAGGGCUACGUAACACCUGGGAACCUGCCCUUAGGUUCGGAAUAACUCCCCGAAAGGUGUGCUAAUACCGGUUAAUGUCUUCGGACCAAAGAGUUAUCGCCUUGGGAUGGGGCCUCGUUGGAUUAGCUGGUGGGUAGGGUAAAAGCCUGCCAACGCGAGGAUCGAUGGCUGGUCGGAUAGGAUGACAAGUCAGGAUGGGACUGAGACACGGCCCACACUCGUACGGGGGGCAGCAGUGGGGAGCAUUGGACGCUGGGCCAAAGCCUGACCCAGCAAUGCGGCGUGAGUGAUGAAGGCGUUAGGGUUGUAAAGCUCUCUUACCCGGGAUGAUAAUGACAGUACCGGGAGAAUAAGCUCCGGCUAACUACGUG